GGUUCCAUACUGUAACAGUUAACACAUCUGCUUCAUAAGCAGAAGGUCCUGGGUUUGUGCCCCAGUGGAGCCA
rnacentral:tRNA from 1 species